rnacentral:lncRNA from 1 species
UUUGGAGUUGCUCACAAGUGGGUGGUUCGUGAUAAGUUGGGUAGAACUAAGUGUUGCAAGUGCUCACAAGUAGGCUUUUUUGUUUGAACCAAGGCGAGGUGUGGGGAAUUGUGAGAUAUGUGCCUUAGGAGACUGUGUAAUCUCUUACAGGAUAGUUGUAAUCGCUUACCAGGGAAAAUAUUAAGUUUUGUACCGAAAGUUGGUGGCUGCUCCCUGGGUUUUUUGGAGUUGCUCACAAGUGGGUGGUUCGUGAUAAGUUAGGUAGAACUAGGUGUUGCAAGUGCUCACAAGUAUGCUUUUUUGUUUGAACCAAGGUGAGGCGUGGUGCUCACCCUGUAAGCGAUUACAAUAGCACCAGGCCAGUGCCAUUGCUGCAGGAACUUACAUUCCAACCCACAGAAACUCUACUUCGUCUUCC